rnacentral:rRNA from 1 species
GGGUUAGUAGGUUGGUCAUGCCUCUGGUAUGUACUGGUCUCACUGAUUCCUCCUUCCUUAUGAACCGUAAUGCCAUUAAUUUGGUGUUGCGGGGAAUUUGGACUGUUACUUUGAAAAAAUUAGAGUGCUUAAAGCAGGCUAACGCUUGAAUACAUUAGCAUGGAAUAAUGAAAUAGGACGUUCGAUCCUAUUUUGUUGGUUUCUAGGAUUGACGUA